rnacentral:rRNA from 1 species
UAGUCUACGCCGUAAACGAUGCAUGCUCGAUGUAGGCCCCCUCGACCUGGGGUCUGUGUCUUAGGUAACCCGUUAAGCAUGCCGCCUGUGUAGUACGGCCGCAAGGCUAAAACNCAAAGGAAUAGACGGGGACCCACACAAGCGGUGGAUUAUGGGGUUUAAUUCGUCAAUAAGCGAGUAACCUUACCCAGACUUGACAUCCUAUUCGUACCUUUUAGAAAUAAUUGGGUCGGUUCGGCCGGAAUAGUGACAGGCGUUGCAUGGUUGCCGUCAGCUCGUGCCUUGAGGUGUUCGGUUAAGUCCGUUAACGAGCGCAACCCUCGUCGUAUGUUGUAUUUUCAUGCGAGACUGCCCUGUACAACGGGGAGGAAGGUGAGGAUGACGUCAAAUCAGCAUGACCCUUAUGUCUGGGGGCUACACCCGUAAUACAAUGGUUGGUGCAAACUGAAACGAAGCCGUAAGGUGGAGCGAAAACAGAAAAAACCAAUCUCAGUUCGGAUUGAAGUCUGCAACUCGACUUCAUGAAGUUGGAAUCGCU